UACGUAGGGUGCGAGCGUUGUCGGAAUUAUUGGGCGUAAAGAGCUCGUAGGCGGCUUGUCGCGUCGGAUGUGAAAGCCCGGGGCUUAACCCCGGGUCUGCAUUCGAUACGGGCAGGCUAGAGUUCGGUAGGGGAGAUCGGAAUUCCUGGUGUAGCGGUGAAAUGCGCAGAUAUCAGGAGGAACACCGGUGGCGAAGGCGGUUCUCUGGGCCUUACCUGACGCUGAGGAGCGAAAGCGUGGGGAGCGAACAGG
rnacentral:rRNA from 1 species